UACGUAGGGUGCAAACGUUGUUCGGAAUCACUGGGCGUAAAGGGUACGCAGGCGGCCAUAUAAGUAAGGGGUGAAAAUCCGGGGCUCAACUCCGGACCUGCCUUUUAAACUGUAUGGCUAGAAUCGUAAUAGGGGCGGUAGGAAUUCCUGGUGUAGGAGUGAAAUCUGUAGAUAUCAGGAGGAACACCAAUAGCGUAGGCAAGCCGCUGGGUAACGAUUGACGCUCAUGUACGAAAGCUAGGGGAGCAAAUGGG
rnacentral:rRNA from 1 species